rnacentral:rRNA from 1 species
CAGAGGGGGCAAGCGUUAUUCGGAAUUAUUGGGCGUAAAGGGCGCGUAGGCGGCUUGGCAAGUGGAAGGUGAAAUCCCUCGGCUUAACCGAGGAACUGCCCUCCAAACUGCUUUGCUUGAGGCCGGGAGAGGUGAGUGGAAUUCCCAGUGUAGCGGUGAAAUGCGUAGAUAUUGGGAGGAACACCAGUGGCGAAGGCGGCUCACUGGACCGGUCCUGACGCUGAUGCGCGAAAGCGUGGGGAGCAAACGGGAUUAGAUACCCCGGUAGUCCACGCCGUAAACGAUGAGUGCUUGGUGUAGCGGGUAUCGACCCCUGCUGUGCCGAAGUCAACACAUUAAGCACUCCGCCUGGGGAGUACGGUCGCAAGGCUG